rnacentral:rRNA from 1 species
CAAUAGCGUAUAUUUAAGUUGUUGCAGUUAAAAAGCUCGUAGUUGGAUUUCUGCUGAUCGCUGUCGGUCUGCCGUCAGGUGUGUACUGGCAGUGUUUGGCAUCUAUUCGAGAUUGGGUGUCCACUUGAUUGUGUGCACUCGAUGUCGGAGCUAAUACUUUGAGAAAAUUAGAGUGUUCCACGCAGGCGCGUGCCUUGAAUACUGCAGCGUGGGAUAUUGGAAGGCCGAUUGAGCUUUCUUGUUGGUUCUCGGUUUGAUCGGAAUGAUUAAUAGGGAUAGUUGGGGGCAUUCGUAUUCAACUGUCAGAGGUGAAAUUCUUGGAUUUGUUGAAGACGGACUACUGCGAAAGCAUCUGCCAUGGAUGUUCUCAUUGA